GUUGGGCAUAGUGGUGCUUGCCUAUAAUCCCAGCAUCCUGGGAGGCUGAGGCAGGAGGAUGGCAAGUUCAAGGACAACUUCAGCAAUUUAGUGAAGCCCUAAACAACUUAGCAAGACCCUGUCUCAA
rnacentral:sRNA from 1 species